GAGCUGAUCCAGCAACGCCGCGUGAGGGAUGACGGCCUUCGGGUUGUAAACCUCUUUCAGUAGGGACGAAGCGCAGUGACGGUACCUACAGAAGAAGCACCGGCCAACUACGUGCCAGCAGCCGCGGUAAUACGUAGGGUGCGAGCGUUGUCCGGAAUUAUUGGGCGUAAAGGGCUCGUAGGCGGUUUGUCGCGUCGGGAGUGAAAACACUGGGCUUAACUCAGUGCUUGCUUCCGAUACGGGCAGACUAGAGGUAUUCAGGGGAGAACGGAAUUCCUGGUGUAGCGGUGAAAUGCGCAGAUAUCAGGAGGAACACCGGUGGCGAAGGCGGUUCUCUGGGAAUUACCUGACGCUGAGGAGCGAAAGUGUGGGGAGCGAACAGGAUUAGAUACCCUGGUAGUCCACACCGUAAACGUUGGGCGCUAGGUGUGGGGUCCAUUCCACGGAUUCCGUGCCGCAGCUAACGCAUUAAGCGCCCCGCCUGGGGAGUACGGCCGCAAGGCUAAAACUCA
rnacentral:rRNA from 1 species